GAUGAACGCUGGCGGCGUGCCUAAUACAUGCAAGUCGAGCGAACAGACGAGGAGUUUGCUCCUCGGACGUUAGCGGCGGACGGGUGAGUAACAUGUGGAUAACCUACCUAUAAGACUUAGAUAACAUCGGGAAACCGGAAGUAAGACCAGAAAAUAUAUUGAACCUCAUGGAUCAAUAGUGAAAUACUGGGUUGAUGAUAGUUAUAGAUGGAUCCGCGCCGCAUUAGCUAGUUGGUAAGGUAACGGCACACCAAGGCAACGAUGCGUAGCCGACCUGAGCGGGUGGUCGGCCACACUGGAACGGAGACACGGUCCAGACUCCUACGGGAGGCAGCAGUAGGGAAUCUUCCGCAAUGCGCGAAAGCCUGACGGAGCAACGCCGCGCGAGUGAUGAAGAUCUUGCGAUCGUAGAACUAUGCUAUUAGGAAAGAACAAAUGUGUAAGUAACUAUGCACGUCUUGACGGUACCUAAUCAGAAAGCCACGGCUAACUCCGUG
rnacentral:rRNA from 1 species